rnacentral:rRNA from 1 species
CAUGCAAGUCGAGGGGAAACGACAUCGAAAGCUUGCUUUUGAUGGGCGUCGACCGGCGCACGGGUGAGUAACGCGUAUCCAACCUGCCCACCACUUGGGGAUAACCUUGCGAAAGUAAGACUAAUACCCAAUGACGUCUCUAGAAGACAUCUGAAGGAGAUUAAAGAUUUAUCGGUGAUGGAUGGGGAUGCGUCUGAUUAGCUUGUUGGCGGGGUAACGGCCCACCAAGGCGACGAUCAGUAGGGGUUCUGAGAGGAAGGUCCCCCACAUUGGAACUGAGACACGGUCCAAACUCCUACGGGAGGCAGCAGUGAGGAAUAUUGGUCAAUGGACGAGAGUCUGAACCAGCCAAGUAGCGUGCAGGAUGACGGCCCUAUGGGUUGUAAACUGCUUUUAUAAGGGAAUAAAGUGAGUCUCGUGAGACUUUUUGCAUGUACCUUAUGAAUAAGGACCGGCUAAUUCCGUGCCAGCAGCCGCGGUAAUACGGAAGGUCCGGGCGUUAUCCGGAUUUAUUGGGUUUAAAGGGAGCGUAGGCCGGAGAUUAAGCGUGUUGUGAAAUGUAGAUGCUCAACAUCUGAACUGCAGCGCGAACUGGUUUCCUUGAGUACGCACAAAGUGGGCGGAAUUCGUGGUGUAGCGGUGAAAUGCUUAGAUAUCACGAAGAACUCCGAUUGCGAAGGCAGCUCACUGGAGCGCAACUGACGCUGAAGCUCGAAAGUGCGGGUAUCGAACAGGAUUAGAUACCCUGGUAGUCCGCACGGUAAACGAUGGAUGCCCGCUGUUGGUCUGAAUAGGUCAGCGGCCAAGCGAAAGCAUUAAGCAUCCCACCUGGGGA